CCCUUAGAUGUUCUGGGCUGCACGCGUGUUACAAUCGGGAGUACAACAAGAUUGCAAAUCCUAGUGGAUGAGUGGUUCUUCGAAAUUUUCUGAAGACUGGGAUAGUUGAUUGAAAUUAUUCAACUCAAACGAGGAAUUCCUUGUAAUUGUAAUUCAUUAUAUUGUAAUGAAUACGUCCCUGCCCUUUGUACACACCGCCCGUCGCUCCUACCGAUUGAACGAUCCGGUGAAUUAUUUGGAGUAGCUCUGGAAGUUGCAGAACAUCCUAUGUCACGAAAUUUUGUAAACCUUAUCGUUUAGAGGAAGGAAAAGUCGUAACA
rnacentral:rRNA from 1 species